rnacentral:rRNA from 1 species
AACCUGGUUGAUCCUGCCAGUAGUGUAUGCUUCUCCUAAAGACUAAGCCAUGCAUGUCUUCGAAUAAGAGGAAGCAAUUCUCUCUGAAUCUGCGAACGGCUCCGCAAACCAGUUGUAAACUAUAGCAAGCAAGCNCAGGGACCCUUCACGGGGUCUUUGGGCAACAUGGAUAACCCUGGUAAUUCUGAGGCUAAUACAAGAACGUAAUACCUGGCCGACCGGGCAACUGGAAGGUUGGGAGACGUGCGAGGUUUUCGCGAGGUUUUACCGGGAAUGGACGCACGUCUGGACCGCGCUAAAAACAGAUGGGGUCCCGCUUCGGUGGGGUCCCGCCUGAGCGGCUCUUGCUGUGUGCUUCUGACCUAUCAACUAGAUGGCAGCGUAAAGGACAUGCUAUGGUGACAACGGGUACAGAGGAUUAGGGUUCGAUCCUGGAGAGUGGGCCUGAGAGAUUGCUCAUACUUCUAAGGAAGGCAGCAGGCGCGCAACGUUCCCCUUGGGCAUUGCUUGAGGGCGUUAGGGGACAUAUGAAUGUUUGCCUAUUAGGUGAACAAUUCAAAUGG